rnacentral:rRNA from 1 species
UAACAAGGAUUCCCUUAGUAACUGCGAGUGAACCGGGAAGAGCUCAAAUUUAAAAUCUGGCGGUUUUGCCGUCCGAGUUGUAAUCUGGAGAAGCGUUUUCCGCGUCGGACCGUGUACAAGUCUCUUGGAAUAGAGCGUCAUAGAGGGUGAGAAUCCCGUCCAUGACACGGACUCCCGGUGCUUUGUGAUACGCUCUCAAAGAGUCGAGUUGUUUGGGAAUGCAGCUCAAAAUGGGUGGUAAAUUCCAUCUAAAGCUAAAUAUUGGCGAGAGACCGAUAGCGAACAAGUACCGUGAGGGAAAGAUGAAAAGCACUUUGGAAAGAGAGUUAAACAGUACGUGAAAUUGUUGAAAGGGAAACGCUUGAAGUCAGUCGCGUCGUACGGAGCUCAGCCUUGCUUCUGCUUGGUGUAUUCUCCGUGUCGACGGGUCAACAUCAAUUUUGACCGGUGGAAAAGGGCUUAGGGAAUGUAGCGUUGUUUCGGCGACGUGUUAUAGCCCUAGGUCGUAUGCAUCGGUUGGGAUUGAGGACCGCAGCACGCCCUUGUGGCCGGGGGUUCGCCCCACGUUCGUGCUUAGGAUGUUGGCAAAAUGGCUUUAAGCGACCCGUCUUGAAACACGGACCAAGGAGUCUAACAUGCCUGCGAGUGUUCGGGUGGAAAACCCUUGCGCGUAAUGAAAGUGAAAGUUGGGAUCCUUCGUAAGGGGGUGCACCGACGCCCGGCCCUGAAGUUUUCUGACGGUGCUGCGGUAGAGCAUGUAUGUUGGGACCCGAAAGAUGGUGAACUAUGCCUGAAUAGGGUGAAGCCAGAGGAAACUCUGGUGGAGGCUCGUAGCGAUUCUGACGUGCAAAUCGAUCGUCAAAUUUGGG